rnacentral:rRNA from 1 species
UACAGAGGGGGCGAGCGUUGUUCGGAAUUACUGGGCGUAAAGGGCGCGUAGGCGGCCUGCUAAGUCAUACGUGAAAUCCCUCGGCUCAACCGGGGAACUGCGUGUGAUACUGGCGGGCUUGAAUUCGGGAGAGGGAUGCGGAAUUCCAGGUGUAGCGGUGAAAUGCGUAGAUAUCUGGAGGAACACCGGUGGCGAAGGCGGCAUCCUGGACCGAUAUUGACGCUGAGGCGCGAAAGCCAGGGGAGCAAACGGG